UGUAAUAGUUUUGAUUCUAAGAAAACAAUUUCAGAGUGAUAAGAUAGCCAAUCAACCACCCAGCCGAAUUCGCGUAUAUUGUAAUAGUAGAUGACAUAUUCAGAAAUACUUGUUUCUAUUGUUAGAAUUUUCAGAAAUAUCCUUGUCUGUUAUGAAGAAUAUUUCGGAGAUAUAACUACUUGUAUCAUCGUGUGAUUCACAUAAGUUUUUUUGAUAUAUUAAUAAUAAUGGCAGAAAUUGAAUGGCCAUGGCAAUACAGUUUUCCUCCUUUUUUUACACUUCAGCCUCAUUCAGAUACUAGAGCUAAACAAUUAGCAGCAUGGAAAAGUUUAAUCCUAGAAUAUUAUCGUAUAACAAAACAAGCUAUUAUAGAUAUAAGAGAAGUGCAUUCAAGCCCGUUAUUUAAUAAUACUGCAAUUAAUCGCAAAUUAUCACCAGAGGCUAUCUUAUUGGUAUUGGAAGAAUUAGCAAGAUCAGGGAAUGCAAGCCCAUUAGAUAAGACAAGACAAAGGUGGCUAAUUUAUUGGCAUACUUUGGAAGAAUGGGGUGAAAUUAUUUAUAACUGGGCUCAAGAGAAUGGAUUUGUCGGUUCCGUAUGUACUUUAUUUGAGUUAACACAAGGAGAAGAUACAACAAAUCAGGAAUUUUAUGGACUUGAUACAGAAGUAUUAAUCAGAGCACUUAAAACACUGGAAGGAAAUAAGAAAGCAGAAUUAAUUUUAUUUGAUGAUAAUCAAGGUGUUAAAUUCUUUUAGACACAUAAUUGUACAAAAGAAUUGCUCUGUAAAUGUAAAUACAAAUCUUCGCUAUUUUCAAGGUUUGCACUUGCUUCAAGAUCUUUUUUACUUAAAUGUUCAAUAACAUAAGCUCCGAGUGCAUCGCAUAUGACGUUUAUCGUGGUUCGGAAACGAUCCCUAUAGGCGAAUUUAACAAUUAUUUAAAAUGUAAAAAAUUUUAAUUUGAUUAAUAAUUAUGCCAGAGCGGAUAACUCACAAGAGCCAAUCUACUGCAAUGAUAAGUGUUACAUCUUCAGCAGGCAAUCCUACAGUAUCUAACACCAUAACCAUUGUAACAAGACCAGCUUGUGGAAUGCCAGCAGCUCCAAUGCUGGCUGCAGUUGCUGUUAUACUACAAAAGUAUAUCAAACCAUCAAAGUUAUUAAGAUUUUAAGCUUAAGUUUCAAAGUUUAAUUCAUUUAAUUCGUUUAAUUCAACAAUUACCUAACACCAAUAACAUUGCCAAGGGUCAAUGGAAUUCUCCUGACUUGAGCUAUAAAAAUUGCAGCAACAGCUUCGUAUAAUGCAGUCCCAUCCAUAUUAAUGGUAGCACCAAUUGGAACAACAAAUCGUGUAAUUCUCUGGUCUACACCUAUAUUAUCCAAACACUGUAUUGUUACUGGCAAUGUGGCAGUGCUGUAUUCAUAGAAAUACAUUAUUUAUAAAUCCCAAA